rnacentral:misc_RNA from 1 species
GAUGAAGAACGUAGCGAAAUGCGAUAAGUAGUGUGAAUUGCAGAAUUCAGUGAAUCAUCGAAUCUUUGAACGCACAUUGCGCCCCUUGGUAUUCCAUGGGGCAUGCCUGUUCGAGCGUCAUUUGUACCUUCAAGCUCUGCUUGGUGUUGGGUGUUUGUCUCGCCUCUGCGUGUAGACUCGCCUCAAAACAAUUGGCAGCCGGCGUAUUGAUUUCGGAGCGCAGUACAUCUCGCGCUUUGCACUCAUAACGACGACGUCCAAAAGUACAUUUUUACCCUCUUGACCUCGGAUCAGGUAGGGAUACCCGCUGAACUUAAGCAUAUCAAUAAGCGGAGGA